UGAAAUAAUGUAAAGGAGGACGUGAAAAACAGUCCAGAAAGGUUUUCUUUGAAAAAAAAAAUCAUCAUGAAUUUUGGCAUAAAAAAACGCCUUACUAUACUAUGUCGAAAAAUGUCAUUUUUCAACAUGUGAAAAUGUGCCAUAUGAUGAAAUAAUGUAAAGGAGGCCGUGAAAAACACUCCAGAAAGGUUUUCUUUGAAAAAGAAUCAUCAUUAAUUUUGGCGCAAAAAAAAGCCUUAUCAUACUAUGUCGAAAAAAAAUGCGAUUUUUCAAACAUGUCGUAAAAACGUGCCAUAUGAUGAAAUAAUGUAAAGGGGGCCGUGAAAAACACUCCAGAAAGGUUUUCUUUGAAAAAGAAUCAUCAUGAAUUUUGGAGCAAAAAAACGCCUUAUUAUACUAUGUCGAAAAAAAAUGUGAUUUUUCAAACAUGUCGUAAAAACGUGCCAUAUGAUGAAAUAAUGUAAA
ensembl:lncRNA